rnacentral:rRNA from 1 species
GACGUAGGAGGCGAGCGUUGUCCGGAUUCAUUGGGCGUAAAGAGCACGCAGGCGGUUUGGCAAGUCGGAUGUGAAAACCCGAAGCUCAACUUCGGGCCUGCAUCCGAAACUGCCCGACUAGAGGUAGGUAGGGGAGAUCGGAAUUCCUGGUGUAGCGGUGAAAUGCGCAGAUAUCAGGAGGAACACCGGUGGCGAAGGCGGAUCUCCGUGG